UGUCAGAUUUCGUGAGGCAACAGUCCCACUGAAUGUGACCGCAGCAGAUGCACACCUCUCGCUCCCUGGAUAACAAGAAGUAGAAAAAACCAUGGCGGAAAUGAAGUCAAACAACAUACUUUCCGAGGACUUCAAAGAUAUCAUCAAUCAUGGUAAAAAUAUUUGGAGAAGGAAACCAUCUAUGAGGGAUUUGCUACUGUGGCUUGUCAUAGUGGGUAUGACGUACCUAAUGCUUGCGUUUUUCAUCACUGGCCGUGUAAAGUUGUCGCAUCCGAAACCAUCUCAAAGAAAGUUCUCCGCACGUAUGCGUGACGAACGAAAUAUCGACUCCAAUGCCCCCGCUAAACUGCCGAUUGUUACUUCCCCAGCAACAACUUCAAAUCCAACGGUCGCCCGAAAAUCCUUUUUCUACAUCCAGUACCCUAAGGCAAGUUACAACGUAUGUGAUCGGCUGGCGAUAUACAUCGAAGUGAGAGACGGUAACAACAAGACGAAGACUAGAGGAGGUGAUUUUAUGUGGCCAUACCUGCAAACAGUCUCACUACGCGCUAGUACCCCGGCAGACAAGGUGAUCGACCAUGGUAAUGGCUCAUACACCGCCCUCUUCACGCUUCACUGGGCGGGGGAAAUCGAGCCAUUUGUACGGUUAGUCCUCAGCUCCGAGGAGGCUUAUUUCGUACGCAGCAUCAGGGACCGAAUACCUUAUAGGUUUGCCUACGACGCUAAGUUCACCGACGGCAAAACCAGCGAAGUGACACCGUGCCACAUUACAAAAGAUAUGUACGUCGAUAAAGCAGCGAAAGGGUUGUUAUUCGUGAAGAAAGCGGAAGUGUGUGAUUUUUCAGAUCCUAGGACAGGUUCAACUUGGUAUUGCCUCAAGCCAAAAUCUCUCUCCUGUUCCCAUCGCAGUAAUCAUCGAGGGAGCCCAGAAAGGGGAAACAGCUACCUUCAACAAGCGUUGCUUCACAAAAAAGUAUCGUUAGCCAAGCCAGAGAUGUUGAAGAACACUGGCAACGUAAGAACGGUCAAAGUGAUGUCUAAAGUGAGUGACUCUGCUUGUCUGGAUUUACCACAUUGCAAUCCUGGUCUUCCACCCAAGCGAGCCGACCACUCCGCCGGAUAUUACUUCAAAGAUUUAUGGAAGUCAAAGGUUUGCCUUGCCAGUGAACUCCAAUUGAAGGAAACUAUCGAGUGCCUUCGAAAUAAGCAUUUGUUUUUCAUCGGUGACUCCACCAUAAGACAGUGGUUCUGGUAUCUUGUCUCACACACUGGACAAACCAUGAAGGAGCAUAUUACAUCGACUGAAGCGGGAGUCAGGCGAGUGUAUGGACACGCUUUUGACAACGCCCACAACAUUACGCUGGAUUUUCGAUUUCAUGACUACCCACUUAUUGGUGACUGGAUUAGUACAAGUGUUAUCUACUCUGCAGUUGACUUGAUUGACAGUCUGCCAGGCGGGAGGGACACAGUGCUAGGAUUUACCAUGUGUGCUCACUUUACAUUCACGAAUCUGACCUAUUAUUUAUCUCGAUUGGAACCCAUUAGAGAUGCCAUUGUACGACUUCAGACGAGAGGCACUGGAAAAGCUACCGUUAUUAUCAAGUCGGCGAACACUGGCACUCUACAGGUAACACCUGUGAACACCGAACUGCUCUGUUACGAUCUUGAUCUAACGAUGAGGGCGUUUUUCAGGGAAGUUCCUAACGUCACCAUUAUUGACGUUUGGGACAUGACUCUAAGCCACAGAGGUGGAUAUAACAUACAUCCCAGUAAAUUGGUCGUCGGAGAAGAAGUCAACUUGUUCCUGAACUUUGUUUGCAGCAAGAGAGCCUAAAAGUUGACCCCUUGUGGCAGGCUUCCUGAACUCUUGGAUAGGAAAAAUAACAUAAGUGUCCAUGUGUGUGUAUAGCACACUUUGACCUUUGGGAUGUUUUAUCGGGCGAGAACUUGGCAAGGCACUACCGGUGAAGAAUGCUGGACUCCACAGAUGGCGAAAAAGAGUUCAGUUCUUGACGGUGCAAAAAUGAGCUGCAACGGGGACGAAGACCGCGUCCAAUAAGAAUGACCAGGCUCGACACGAAACGGUGAGGGCGUGCUGCCCGUUGCAAAUACGAGACCUGAUGUUAACACAUUUAAACUGGAACUGGAUUCACUUCAAAAACUGUUUUUUCCGGAUCAAAAUUCAGGUCUGUACUUCACUUGGUCUGGCCGAACCUUUCUUACAAGUGUUGCUCCACAAUUCUUCAUGAUGACACCGCAGAGGAAGGACGCCUCUGCACUGAGCUCCGGGUUUUCUGUGUGUUCCCUCCACGGUGUGUAGCUAACGAUACCCAAAGCUACGAGGCAGUAAAAGGAUGGACACUGCUGCGGGUGUUGUUCCUCAUGCACUCCGUAGAUUCGGGAGAGUGAAAAAUGAUAAAACUAAUGCCGUGUGGAUCGGUGGUAACAAGGGGCGUCAGAAACGUCCCAGAGGACAGUUUUAGAGCCUUGGUUAUUGAUUUCAUAGUCAAUCUUGAUGAAAUAAAGUGUUAGAUGCUACUGCCACUUUAGUAUAUCACUGAUCCAAGAGAAACCUUACGGUUAUGGGUCGAGUCACAAUAGUUAAGUCUCUUAUUUUAUCUUUACUUUUUUGAUCUUGUCUUUUCCAGACCCAGCCCCAGACAUAAUUAGGAAUCUAAAUGUUAUGCUGUAUAAAUUUAUUUGGAGGGGGUCGAUAGAAUCGCAAGGAAUCAGAUGAUUCAAGACUAUAAGCAUGGUAGUGUAAAGAUGGUUGAUUUAAGUUUAUCUAUAAAAGCUUUAAAGUGUACAUGGAUUCGUAGAUUCGUGGAUAUUUUUGUUUCAUAAGAUGAGUGAUAUCCAGAAUGUUCUGUCUAUUGAAGGCGGCCAUCUUGGCGUUACUCGCCUUUUUUCAGCGAGCCAGGUAGGCAAACUGUUUUUGGAUUGAUGUUUUAAAAGCUUGGAGUUUUUUUACUCGGUGUCGUAUUUCUUCUCAAGCGAAUGAAGUACUUGUCUAGGUUUUGUGGUAUAACCAUAAUAUUAUGAUGUAUAUUUUAUUAACACUGGGCUAACAAAGGAGUUAAUUUUGAAGGCGAUCGUUUAGACAGUGAGGGUCAUUUUUUAAUCUUAGACGAUUUUAUCAGAAAAUUUGACGUCAAGACAAAUUGUUUGGAGUAUGGGGGAGAUAUCAAUACAGUUAAAAAAUUUUUCGUCGCACACUGUCACACGUCAACUGCAAUGUAUGCUUUCCUUUUAUUCCUUUUAAUUUUAGGUCACUUCUGUUGGAUGAAAAAAGGCUCUACUCGUGUCUACCGUAUUCUGACCUCUGCAACGAAGGUUGUUCAUAGGUUUACUGAUAGAUGGGAAACGAAAUCGGUUUGUAACCUUCCUCGCACGGAAUGGUUGAAUUUAUGUAGCCUACCUUUCUUUUAACGUGUGAUACUAAACUGCGGUGGUUUCAAUAUAGACUAACUCAAAGAAUAUUGGCUGUAGAUUGGUAUUUGCUGAAAAAGGGAAAAGGGACGAUUUGUGUUCUUUUUGUCAAGUUGAAAGUGAAACUUUGUUACAUCUCCUUUGCACUUGCCAGGUCUCCACUUUGUUUUGGAACCUUAUUAGUGAUUGGUUGAAAAAUAUGUUGAAAAUUCAGAUGCAAUUGGAUAACCAAACUAUCCUUUUCGCAACUACUUAUAAUUCCAGGAGUGUACUAAAUUUAAUUCUUUUGCUUGGCCGCUUUCAUAUCUACAAAAUGAAAAUGAAUGGAGGCUUACCUUCGUUUGUACUGUUUAGAGACGAUUUAAAAAGAUAUUAUGCUUAUGAAAAAUUAUGAAAAAAAUUUUUUACCACCAAUGGUAAAAUGGACACUUUCUCCUUGCUAUUUAAUUACCUAUUACAAAUUGACUGCUUGUAUGUUUCUUUUCUUGAUUUUAUGUGACAUGCAAGAGAAAUAUUAAUAAAGGCCCUGAGUGGGAAAAAAG
rnacentral:misc_RNA from 1 species